AAUCCCUUGCCUCUUAAUUGGUGGCUAGUAUGAAUGGAUAGACGAAAAUUAGGCUGUCUCCAUAAAGAAACUAAAACUUACUCCUCAAGUGAAGAAUCUUGAAUUAUUAUAAAAGACAAGAAGACCCUGUAGAGCCUCACUAUUAAUCUGAGCCCAUAAUAAAAUAAAUUUAACCACCAGAAAAUAGUUUAGUUGGGGCGACUAAGGAUGCACCCCCACCCUCCUUUCUUUCUAAGGCCAUAAGCCAUUUUAAUGAUCCUUCUCAUCGAUCAAAAAACUAGGCUACCUCAGGGAUAACAGUCUAAUCUUCCUUAAGAGCCCAAAUUGCCAGGAAGGAUUGGCACCUCGAUGUUGGCUUAGGACAUCUUUUAAACGCAACAGUUUAAAUAGUAGGUUUGUUCAACCUUUAAAGUCCUACGUGAUC
rnacentral:rRNA from 1 species